rnacentral:sRNA from 1 species
ACCAAAAUGAAUGUGUGUGAAUCACUAUUUACUAUUCAAAUUUUAAAUAUUAUCGAUCAAAAUUUGAAUUUAUAUCUUACACCCGCCUAUUUAGACGGGCAUGAUCUAGUAUCUAUAUAAAU